rnacentral:rRNA from 1 species
UACGAAGGGGGCUAGCGUUGCUCGGAAUGACUGGGCGUAAAGGGCGCGUAGGCGGAUGGCACAGUCAGAUGUGAAAUUCCUGGGCUUAACCUGGGGGCUGCAUUUGAUACGUGUGAUCUGGAGUGAGGAAGAGGGUUGUGGAAUUCCCAGUGUAGAGGUGAAGUUCGUAGAUAUUGGGAAGAACACCGGUGGCGAAGGCGGCGACCUGGUCCUUAACUGACGCUGAGGCGCGAAAGCGUGGGGAGCAAACAGG